rnacentral:rRNA from 1 species
GACGAACGCUGGCGGCGUGCUUAACACAUGCAAGUCGAACGGAAAGGCCCUGCUUUUGUGGGGUGCUCGAGUGGCGAACGGGUGAGUAACACGUGAGUAACCUGCCCUUGACUUUGGGAUAACUUCAGGAAACUGGGGCUAAUACCGGAUAGGAGCUCCUGCUGCAUGGUGGGGGUUGGAAAGUUUCGGCGGUUGGGGAUGGACUCGCGGCUUAUCAGCUUGUUGGUGGGGUAGUGGCUUACCAAGGCUUUGACGGGUAGCCGGCCUGAGAAGGUGACCGGCCACAUUGGGACUGAGAUACGGCCCAGACUCCUACGGGAGGCAGCAGUGGGGAAUAUUGCACAAUGGGCGGAGGCCUGAUGCAGCAACGCCGCGUGCGGGAUGACGGCCUUCGGGUUGUAAACCGCUUUCGCCUGUGACGAAGCGUGAGUGACGGUAAUGGGUAAAGAAGCACCGGCUAACUACGUG